UACAACAUAGCGCUAAUGCACCAAAUCCCAUUAGAAAUCUGUAGUUAAGUGUGCUCAAGGUAGAUUAGUACUCGGAUGGGUGAUCGCUCGGUAAGUCCUAGUGUUUUAA
rnacentral:rRNA from 1 species